GCACUCGUAGCUCAGCUGGAUAGAGCGCUGCCCUCCGGAGGCAGAGGUCGUGGGUUCGAAUCCCGCCGAGUGCGCCA
rnacentral:tRNA from 1 species